rnacentral:rRNA from 1 species
GACGAACGCUGGCGGCGUGCUUAACACAUGCCAGUCGAACGGAAAGGCCCUGCUUUUGUGUGGUGCUCGAGUGGCGAACGGGUGUGUAACACGUGAGCAAUCUGCCCCUGACUCUGGGAUAAGCGCUGAAGACGGCGUCUAAUACUGGAUACGAGCUGCGAAGGCAUCUUCAGCAUCUGAAAAGAAUUUCGGUAAGGGAUGGGCGCGCGGCUUACCAGCUUGUUGGUGAGGUAAUGGCUCACCAAGGCGUCGACGGGUAGCCGGCCUGAGAGGGUGAACGGCGACAAUGGGACUGAGACACGGCGCAGACUCCUACGGGAGGCAGCAGGGGGGAAUCUUGCACAAUGGGCGCAAGUCUGAUGCAGCAACGCCGCGUGAGGGAAGACGGCCUUCGGGUUGUAAACCUCUUUUAGCAGGGAAGGAGCGAAAGUGACGGUACCUGCAGAAAAAGCGCCGGCUAACUACGUG